AAUAAUAGAAACUCGACAUUCAAAGACCCACGCUAUAGAUGAUACAGACUGUAUUUGUUUAUUUGUCUUUCAAUGCCUGAAGUCAAUAUCAAUCAUGGUAGAGAGGCAUCAAUGUAGCUGUAUUUCAGCUUGACUAUCUGGCAGUUGACAAGAGCAAAUGCAUUAGUGCUUAUAUCUAGGGCAGUUGAUUCAGGUAUCGUUGAUGGCAUUUUGAGCUGGCCUGUUUGGUUUCCUUUUAGUCGUCUAACAUACUCAGCAUACCUUCUUCAUCCUAUAGUCACUAUGGCUUACAUCGCCAGUCUGAAGCAACCAGUGUCUAUUGACAACUUCCACAUGCAACAUAUUGCAGUUAAUCAGGAAUUCGGAAUAUGGGAAGCAGGUUUGUGUCACAGAAGUUUGGUGCUCUUUACAACCAAGCAUGGUAUCACCUUUACAUGAUACUAAUCUCUUGCUCAUCAUACAGUUCUUCACAAGCUGAACUUGCACAUGCGAAAUUGUGGAACGUAAUAGGAUAAACUUACAAAUGGCUGCACUAAAUGUUUUUUAUGCAUAUCUUUUACCACAUAUGUUUGCUCUUUGCACGUGGCAAGUAGACCAAUUUGGUAUGUUCAAUGAGCUACUUGCAUUUGUGAGCGAGUUGCUGUUACUGUAGAUCCUUGCAAUUUGUUGUUUGUAUUUUGGAUAUGUCAUGUAAUACGUAUUAAUAGCUAUUAUUCAAGAUUCAGUUUUAGUUGUAGAUUCAGUAGG